UACGGGGGGGGCAAGCGUUGUUCGGAAUUACUGGGCGUAAAGGGCUUGUAGGUGGCCAACUAAGUCAGACGUGAAAUCCCUCGGCUUAACCGGGGAACUGCGUCUGAUACUGGAUGGCUGGAGUGUGGGAGAGGGAUGCGGAAUUCCAGGUGUAGCGGUGAAAUGCGUAGAUAUCUGGAGGAACACCGGUGGCGAAGGCGGCAUCCUGGACCAACAUUGACGCUGAGGAGCGAAAGCCAGGGGAGCAAACGGG
rnacentral:rRNA from 1 species